rnacentral:rRNA from 1 species
AUUGAACGCUGGCGGCAGGCCUAACACAUGCAAGUCGAGCGGAGCGGAGGACGGGUGAGUAAUGCCUAGGAAUCUGCCUGGUAGUGGGGGAUAACGUCCGGAAACGGGCGCUAAUACUGCAUACUAUCAGAUGAGCCUAGGUGGGAUUGGCUAGUUGGUGGGGUAAUGGCCUACCAAGGCGACGAUCCGUAACUGGUCGGAGAGGAUGAUCAGUCACACUGGAAAGGAGACACGGUCCAGACUCCUACGGUAGGCAGCAGUGGGGAAUAUUAGACAAUGGGCAAAAGCCUGAACCAGCCAUGCCGCGUGUGUGAAGAAGGUCUUCGGAUUGUAAAGCACGUUAAGUUGGGAGGCGUUACCAGCAGAAUAAGCACCGGCUAACUUCGUGCCAGCCGCCGCGGUAAUAC